rnacentral:tRNA from 1 species
AGCUCAGUCCGUUAGAGCAUGGUGCUUAUAACACCAAGGUCGCAGGUUUGAUCCCCGU